UCUAGGUUUUGUGACUUUUGAUUGUCACAAAAAAAAAAACAAUUUAAUUAUUUACAAAAAUUGUUCAAGGAGUUUUGAGUUUCCCAAGAAUAAAAAGGCGUCCCCGACCUAAAAACAGAACCAACACAAUUCCUUGACAUUCAUUUGGAAUCCCUACAUGAAAUGGGACCUUGGAACCUAAAGAAGCAGAGCUAGAGCAUCGCCGACAAGAAGAUGUCUUAAAACGUUACAGCUCAAAGAAGGAAUCGAUUUGCCAACAUAGCUGAGACUGCGCUCGCUAAAGAAAGAUUUCAGAAUGAAGGCUAGAUAGCGUUAGAAGGUAACUCACUUGUGAAGCUCUUCAAUAGGAAAAUGCGAUCACGAAAAAGUUUGAACCCCCCAAACCAGACCUGAAUUGAAGACUUUUCAAG